UGAGCAAAGGACAUGAACACUUUUCAAAAGAAAACAUACAAGCAACCAACCAGCAUAAAAAGAUAGCUCAAUAGCACUGAUCAUUAGAGAGAUGUAUAUCAAAAUCACAAUGAGAUACCAUCUCACACCAGUCAGAAUGGUAUCUCAUUAAAAAGUCAG